rnacentral:rRNA from 1 species
UACAGAGGGUGCGAGCGUUAAUCGGAAUUACUGGGCAUAAAGCGUGCGUAGACGGUUAUCUAAGUCGGAUGUGAAAGCCCCGGGCUCAACCUGGGAAUUGCAUUCGAGACUGAAUAGCUAGGGUGCGGUAGAGGGAAGCGGAAUUUCCGGUGUAGCGGUGAAAUGCGUAGAUAUCGGAAGGAACAUCAGUGGCGAAAGCGGCUUCCUGGACCAGCACCGACGUUCAGGCACGAAAGCGUGGGGAGCAAACAGG